rnacentral:lncRNA from 1 species
GCUCGGGCACAUCUUUUUCUGGCGCACGCAGAGUCUCUUGGCUACGGCGUGCAUCAGCAACUGUGCAGAUCUGGAUUCGGCCUCUUAUCCUUCCUGACAUCACGCAUAAGCAACUAUUCAGAUUUGGAUCCGGCCGCAUGUUCUCCCUGCAUCACGCACCAGUAGCUGUGUAGAUCUGGAUCCGACCUUCUGUUCUCCUCGCAUCAUGCACUAACAGCAAGAAACGUGCAGAUCAUAUUUAAU